UGAGGCGUUCGGACUGGCCCAGGGAGGUCGGCAACGACCACCCAGGGCCGGAAAGUUCGUCAAACUUGGUCAUUUAGAGGAAGUAAAAGUCGUAACAAGGUCUCCGUAGGUGAACCUGCGGAGGGAUCAUU
rnacentral:rRNA from 1 species